UAGGGAAUCUUCGGCAAUGGACGAAAGUCUGACCGAGCAACGCCGCGUGAGUGAAGAAGGUUUUCGGAUCGUAAAACUCUGUUGUUAGAGAAGAACAAGGACGUUAGUAACUGAACGUCCCCUGACGGUAUCUAACCAGAAAGCCACGGCUAACUACGUGCCAGCAGCCGCGGUAAUACGUAGGUGGCAAGCGUUGUCCGGAUUUAUUGGGCGUAAAGCGAGCGCAGGCGGUUUCUUAAGUCUGAUGUGAAAGCCCCCGGCUCAACCGGGGAGGGUCAGUGGAAACUGGGAGACGUGAGUGCAGAAGAGGAGAGUGGAAUUCCAUGUGUAGCGGUGAAAUGCGUAGAUAUAUGGAGGAACACCAGUGGCGAAGGCGGCUCUCUGGUCUGUAACUGACGCUGAGGCUCGAAAGCGUGGGGAGCAAACAGG
rnacentral:rRNA from 1 species